CCCCAAACCAAAUGAUUACAAUAAACUCAUAAUAAUAAUGAUGAUAAUAAUAAUAAUGAUAUUAAUAAUAAUAAUAAUAAUAAUGAGGAUGAUAAGAGAUAACAGAAAACUCCUUAUUAACAUAAUUUUUAGGGCUGGACCCGAAUAUUCGAAUAUUCGUUCGGUGGGUUGGUAUUCAAUUUGAAAAUUUGACAUUUGAAUAUUGUUUUGUUCUUUUUUUUUUUUUUUUUUUCGGACCUGGUAUCCCCCGCGAAACUGUUCUCAUUCGCGCUUGAAUAAGGCCGAGGACACACUAGCUGCUUGGCAUGAGCUUCUCAGCUGCGUGGCGUGUCCGUUUUUAUUUCGGCUCCCAUGUUAACAGGUUGGGACUUUGCUCACUGCCUGCGUGAGACACACAAUGACUUCUUUUUAAAAUAAUUUAUUUUUUUAUGAUAUUGUGAUUGCAUGAAUGAACAAGAGCAGCAUUUACUUAACUUCUUAGCCUAGUAGUUAUUCAUAUUGUAAUAUGUAUUUUGGUGAUCUAUUAUUUUUUUAUUUGUUCUUCUCUUUCUCUGCAGGUUCCUUAAUCCCUGUCCUUUUAAAAAAACAGCACCUCAUUACAUCGAAAAAAAGGCACUUUUAAGAGCCACAUUUGUCUUGUAUCUUGUUACUCUCUCUACUGUUGUAUUGUGUUCUCUCUCUCUUGCUGUCUUACUGUCUCUCCCUCCCCUCUGAGUGGGGUUUUUGUUUGUUUGUUUUGUCUUUUUUGUCCCUGUGUGUUUAUAGUGUGUUUAUAUUUUGUGCCAUGUCUGAUCCUGAGAUGGACCGUCUCCUGAAUGAGAUGAGUGACCUUGUCGAUCAGGCUGAACAUCAAGCUCACCUCCAACAGCUCAUUAGCAUGCACCAGGAAGCAGAACCAUCCACCAGUCAGCCUUCCACCAGUAAUCCAUCCACCAGCCGGCCAUCAAACAGCAAGCAAGAUGUUAGGUGGAUUAAGAGGGACAGUGAUGGAAACAUUAUUUACGGCAGGCCCAGAUCAUCCCGGAAACAAGCAGCAGGUCCCAGUCACAGCCAGAGUCGAAAGACUGGUGUCUAUCAUAUCAGGGCUCCUGAAACCAGUGCGGAAAUGACCAGUGACUUUCCUUCCAUUACUGCAGAGUCCUUCCUUCAAGAGCUUAAAAGCUCGCUGUUUGAGGACAUACAUGAGGAUGAAACAGCACUUCAAGCCUCAACAGACUGGUUGACCCGAAGGAGCCUCAUAUCAGGGUGGUGGGAGAAAGAGAGACCCCGACUGGUCAACACCAUGGUGCCUCGACAACAUGCGGCAACUCGGAUCUGCCAACAUUGUGGAAAUGGUUCAGCCGUAAUCCGUUGUUGUGACUGCCGACCACACCCAUUCCUCUGUGGCCAGUGUGAUGUCAGGGUCCACCGAGGUCAGUUGUUCCACAACAGGGAUUCGAUGACACAUGCAUUCUUUCAUCCAUUGCCUCCCACAACUUGUGUUGUGGAGAGGGUUCUAACCCAGUGUGAGCGUCUUGUCCCUUUAGAGAUGCCAGAGACAAUAUGCGGUUGUCGACGAGUAUCGUCCAGUGUCAUCGCAGGACAGUCCAUAGUUGUGGUUACAAUGAAUGGUAAGAAGAACUUUAUGGGUUUGGGUGGGGGUCACUUCUGUAGAAGUGUCGGCAGAAUUUCACCCACAGCUAUUUGCUGAUCACACCAUGUAUAUACUCCCUCUCACUUUUCGUCACAAUUAUGCACAUAUACGAAUCAUGUUAAAUUCAAACAUGUUACAUUGUGCAAGAAAUUUUCUAUAUCAUGGCUGGAAAUCCAGAGGUG
ensembl:lncRNA